rnacentral:rRNA from 1 species
GAUGAACGCUGGCGGCGUGCCUAAUACAUGCAAGUCGAGCGAACAGACGAGGAGCUUGCUCCUCUGACGUUAGCGGCGGACGGGUGAGUAACACGUGGAUAACCUACCUAUAAGACUGGGAUAACUUCGGGAAACCGGAGCUAAUACCGGAUAAUAUAUUGAACCGCAUGGUUCAAUAGUGAAAGACGGUUUUGCUGUCACUUAGAGAUGGAUCCGCGCCGCAUUAGCUAGUUGGUAAGGUAACGGCUUACCAAGGCAACGAUGCGUAGCCGACCUGAGAGGGUGAUCGGCCACACUGGAACUGAGACACGGUCCAGACUCCUACGGGAGGCAGCAGUAGGGAAUCUUCCGCAAUGGGCGAAAGCCUGACGGAGCAACGCCGCGUGAGUGAUGAAGGUCUUCGGAUCGUAAAACUCUGUUAUUAGGGAAGAACAAAUGUGUAAGUAACUAUGCACGUCUUGACGGUACCUAAUCAGAAAGCCACGGCUAACUACGUG